rnacentral:misc_RNA from 1 species
GAUGAAGAACGUAGUGAAAUGCGAUAAGUAAUGUGAAUUGCAGAAUUCAGUGAAUCAUCGAAUCUUUGAACGCACAUUGCGCCCUCUGGUAUUCCGGGGGGCAUGCCUGUUCGAGCGUCAUUAUAACCACUCAAGCUCUCGCUUGGUAUUGGGGUUCGCGGUUUCGCGGCCCCUAAAAUCAGUGGCGGUGCCUGUCGGCUCUACGCGUAGUAAUACUUCUCGCGAUUGAGUCCGAUAGGUCUACUUGCCAGUAACCCCCAAUUUUUACAGGUUGACCUCGGAUCAGGUAGGGAUACCCGCUGAACUUAAGCAUAUCAAUAAGCGGAGGA